UACAGAGGGGGCAAGCGUUGUCCGGAUUUAUUGGGCGUAAAGAGCUCGUAGGCGGUUCCGUAAGUCGUGAAGUCAAAUCUCUGGGCUCAACCCAGAAUCGCUUCCGAUACUGCGGUGACUGGAGUCCGGUAGGGGAGUGUGGAAUUCCCAGUGUAGCGGUGAAAUGCGCAGAUAUCAGGAAGAACACCCGUGGCGAAAGCGGCUCUCUGGGACGGUACUGACGCUGAGACGCGAAAGCGUGGGGAGCGAACAGG
rnacentral:rRNA from 1 species